CAGGAGCAGUCAUUCGCUGCGAAUAAUUCAAUUGAUUUUAUUCAUCAGCAGUUGAUUGGGUUGUGAAAAUUGGACGUUGCAUGGUGUAAUUAAAGCCGAGAAUAGUAAGUCAACAAACCUGAAGAUCCACUAAAGAAUGAGCGAGAAGCUUUCAUUGAAGAGGAUGUGAUUACAUUUGGAAUCUUGGAUGCUAGUCGAAAGCUGGCAGCAGACUUUCUCAAUCUC
ensembl:lncRNA